GUCCCGAUAACAAGUGGACGAAGAAGACUUGCGAUCCAUGUCCUGAAUCAAGACCUUUUAAAUGCAACACCUCGAGCAAAUGCAUCAAAGAACUGUUCCUGUGCGACGGCUACGCUGACUGUCCGAACAACGAAGACGAAGCCAAUGCCACGUGCUUCGUCUGCCCGUCUGCCAAGCCUCUCAGAUGUCCGUCCGGCGAGUGUAUAAGCGAGGCGUGGUUGUGUGACCUGGCGGCGGAGUGCAAAGACGGGUGGGAUGAGUCGAACUGCACGGUCUGUCCCGCCCAGACGCCCUUCAGAUGCAACGUUACAGGAAAAUGCCUGCCUUUAGUGUGGGUUUGUGACGGCGUGAGUGACUGUUCCACGACGCAAGAGCAGGACGACUCAGACGAGAGCUCCUGCGACCCGUGUCCCGACUUCAAGCCGAGAAAAUGCGCAGAUGGCUCGGCUUGCUACCCCGACAGCUGGCGGUGCAACGACGUGGACGACUGUGCAGAUGGUUCGGAUGAGAAUAGCUGCUUUGAGUAGAAUGAUGGGCGUGGGAGGGAGAGAGGAAUGGAGAAAAGAAGGGAGAAAAAACAACAGAAAACGGGAAAGAUGAUAAUGCAUCAUAGAAAACGGAUAGCGCAGGCG